CACAUGGUGAGAAGGGUCAGCUUGUUAUCCGAUAGAGCUGACCCUCUUGCUUUGGUUCCGGGAUGAAGAAUCUGCCUGUUUCAACAAACCCCCAGUAACUGAUCACAAUCAAUGAUUGAUUACCAUCAGCAGAUGGUUGUUCUGGAAAAGAAAGAGAAAAGCAACGGAUGCUGAGGUGGGACAGCUUGUCAUGCCAUGGGAAACCCUGUAUUGCUUUGGUUUGGGGAAGACUCACCCAAUUCUUUAGUCUCUACCAUUAGAAAAGAAAGAGAAAAGUAACACAUGAUGAGCUGGGACAGCUUGUCAUCUCAUGGGAAACUCUGCAUUCCCGGGUACAGGGAAGAGGACUCACCCAAUGCUCCAAUUCGUUUCUCUGGAAAAGGAAGAGGAGAGCAAUGCGUGAUGAGAGGAGCAUCUCAUCCCACAGCUCACACAGACAGACCCUGAUGUUUUUAAUUUGGGGAGAGAGACUCACCCAGUGCUGCAAUGUAUUUUUCUGCAGUAGAAACAAAUAGGAAACGCAUGAUGAAAAGGGUCAGACGAUCAUCUCAUGGCUGAUCCCAUGGGAUGACCCCAAAUUCCUUCAUUGUAUGGAGGGAAACUUACUCAGCUCUGCAGCACGUAAACCUGGAAAGAAAAAGCAGAAACAGUAAAUGAUGAGAGGAAAAUCUCAUCCCACAGCUCAUACAGGAAGACCCCAUUUUUUUAAUUUGGGAGGGGUGACUCACCUAUAUUUGUCAAAUAGCUCUCUGGAAUAGAAAGACAAAAUCAGUGCAUGGUCAGAGGGGAUUUUUCAUCCCAUAUGCUGUCCCUUGGGAAGACCCCAGAUUUGCUCAGUUCAGUGACUGCGACUUACUCAGCUCUGAUUUCCGUUUCUCUGCAAAAAAAAGAGACAAAAAGCACUGCAUGUUGAGGUGGGACAUCUUGUCAUCCCAUGGAAAACCUCAAAUUCCUUUGCUCUGGGGAAGAAGACUCACCCACUGCUUCAGCUUGAUCCACUGGAAAUGGAAGAGAAAAGCAAUGUGUGAUGAGAGGAGCCUCUCAUCCAAGAGCUGACACAGGCAGAGCCCUUUGUUGUUAAUUUGGGAGGGAGCACUCACCCAGUUCUGCCAUGUGUAGCUCUGCAAAAGGAACCAAUAAGAAACGCAUGAUGAGAAGGGUCAGAUGAACAUCCCAUGGCCGAUCCCAAGGGAAGACCCCAAUCUCUUUGGUUUGGGGAGGAAGACUUACUCAGAUUAGGAGCACGUAUACCUGCAGAGGAAAAGCAGAAACAGUGAAUGAUGAGAGGAACAUCUCAUCCCACAGCUCACAGAGGGAGAGAGCAGUGAUUUCAAUUUGGGUGAGGAGACUCACCA
rnacentral:lncRNA from 1 species